ACGAGCGUAGCUCAGUUGGCUAGAGCGCCACGUUUACACCGUGGAUGUCGGGGGUUCGAAUCCCUCCGCUCGUACCA
rnacentral:tRNA from 1 species